rnacentral:misc_RNA from 1 species
GGUUUCAUCCAUCGUCAGUCAUACCAGCAAGGACAAGUGCAGAAAAAUGGUGAAAUUCCUUAAGCCAAACAAAGCUGUAGUGGUUCUCCAAGGCAAGUACGCCGGGAGGAAAGCGGUGAUUGUUCGAGCAUUCGACGAUGGGACACGUGACAGGCCAUACGGACAUUGUUUAGUCGCCGGCGUAGCUAAGUACCCGAAGAAAGUGAUCCGUAAGGACUCUGCGAAAAAGCAGGCGAAGAAGUCACGCGUAAAGACUUUCAUCAAGCUUGUCAAUUACAACCACAUCAUGCCUACUCGUUACACCCUGGAUGUUGAUUUGAAGGAAGCCGUUACAGUCGAUUGCCUUCAGUCACGUGAUAAGAAGGUUACUGCUGCUAAGGAGGCUAAAGCUAAGUUUGAAGAGCGAUUCAAAACUGGGAAAAAUCGCUGGUUCUUCACUAAGCUUAGAUUUUGAGUGGUUUGCUCUUAAUUUGGUAACUUUCUGUUCUGGAUAUUCAGAAUAUUUGCUCUGUUUUGUUCUUGUUCAAACAACUUUUAAUUUGAAAUGAUAGAUCUGGUUUUAUCUUUUAUGAUU